GACGUAGGGUCCAAGCGUUGUCCGGAUUUACUGGGCGUAAAGAGCGCGUAGGCGGUCUGUUAAGUGAGAAGUGAAAUCUCCAGGGCUCAACCCGGAAACUGCUUUUCAUACUGGCAGACUUGAGGGAUGCAGAGGUGAAUGGAAUUCCUGGUGUAGCGGUGAAAUGCGUUGAUAUCAGGAGGAACACCCAUGGCGAAGGCAGUUCACUGGGCAUCAUCUGACGCUGAGGCGCGAAAGCGUGGGUAGCAAACAGG
rnacentral:rRNA from 2 species